CCUACGGGAGGCAGCAGUGGGGAAUUUUGGACAAUGGGCGCAAGCCUGAUCCAGCCAUGCCGCGUGCGGGAAGAAGGCCUUCGGGUUGUAAACCGCUUUUGUCAGGGAAGAAAUCCUUUGAGCUAAUACCUCGGGGGGAUGACGGUACCUGAAGAAUAAGCACCGGCUAACUACGUGCCAGCAGCCGCGGUAAUACGUAGGGUGCGAGCGUUAAUCGGAAUUACUGGGCGUAAAGCGUGCGCAGGCGGUCUUGCAAGACAGGUGUGAAAUCCCCGGGCUUAACCUGGGAACUGCACUUGUGACUGCAAGGCUGGAGUACGGCAGAGGGGGAUGGAAUUCCGCGUGUAGCAGUGAAAUGCGUAGAUAUGCGGAGGAACACCGAUGGCGAAGGCAAUCCCCUGGGCCUGUACUGACGCUCAUGCACGAAAGCGUGGGGAGCAAACAGGAUUAGAUACCCUGGUAGUCCACGCCCUAAACGAUGUCAACUGGUUGUUGGACGGCUUGCUGUUCAGUACGAAGCUAACGCGUGAAGUUGACCGCCUGGGGAGGCGGUCGCGAGUUAGAACGUACGAAGAAGUAGNGGCGNGNGCGAGGCGACGACGAGGGAGGAGG
rnacentral:rRNA from 1 species